rnacentral:misc_RNA from 1 species
AACGCACAUUGCGCCCAUUAGUAUUCUAGUGGGCAUGCCUGUUCGAGCGUCAUUACAACCCUCAAGCGCUGUAGUGCUUGGUGUUGGGGCAUCUGCUGCCUGCAGCAGGCCCUGAAAGAUAGUGGCGAGGUCGCUGUGACCCUGAGCGUAGUAAUUUACACCUCGCUUCUGUGGUCCGCAGCGGGUUCUCAGCCGUGAAACCCCCAAAUUUUCACAAGGUUGACCUCGGAUCAGGUAGGAAUACCCGCUGAACUUAA